AAGAAGGUGCUUGCUUCGUCUUUGCCUUCUGCCAUGACAUUGUAGAGCCAUCUUGCUGGCCCUGCACCCCAGGGUGUAGGAGAAGAUCUAGAUGUGCCCAGUGUACAGAAACUGGAACCUACCAUCUAAAUUUGACUGCCCCUCAGAUGUCUCUGGUUCUCAGCUUCCUGACCUGCAAAUGUGCAAGACUACACCAAUCUGCAGUCUCUUCUGGCUCUGAUUUCUGAAAAUCACGUAUUUUCAAAUCCUAGGAACAUUAUUCUUCUCUCUUAGCAUGCUAGAUUUCCUUUUAAAUGAAAGAAAUUUUAAUUUAAAAAAAAGUAACACAAAUAGCAUCAACAUGGAAAUAUAUUUGGGAAAGUAUCUGAUAUUCAAGAUUUCCAUGCAAUUAAAAAGAUAGGCCAUAGUGUCAGGCUCAGAUUCUAAUUCCAGCCAUUUCGGUGUCCCUAUUUUGCAUCCUCUGACCUCCAAGAGAUAUUCUGAAAAGUCUACCUUGAAUUUACUACUCAAAGACUUCAUCAAUCUAAGAAGACAUGCAUUAAUAAUGCCUUUUUGGAGAUGAAGAAAUUAAGUCAGAAAGUAGGGAUCCAGGGCCAAAAAACUAGUAAACGGAAAAAUCAGGAUUUUAACCCUGGAAAGCUUAACUCCAAAGUCUGUGCUUUCUGCCAUGUCUGACUGCUUCUCCAACUAAAAAACAUGUUUUAUUCUACUUUUUGUCACGUCCAAGUAUGGCGCAUGCUAAGCUUACUAUAGUUGCUUCAUGUUCCUAGUUUCUGAGAACAGAAGUUUGAAGGGAAUACAAGUGGUAAGCCAUUGGUGACUUCUCCACUUCAAUUAUGAGUUUAGACCCAAUUGUUUAUUCAUCAAAACAAACCUCAGAGCUGCCAACCACAGAUCUGGUCAUUGUGGGUUUUGUUUUGUUUUAUUUUUUAAUAAGGAGAGAAAGACCUAAUUUGGCAGAGGAGACCAAGAAGCCCGGGCUAUACAUUUGCAUAAAGAUGAUUACUAAAACUGAAGAAUUGCUUCUCAUAAAAAAAACUGAUGGAGUUAAAAAAAAAUCCAAAUGAAUUAAACCAGCAGUUCCUACCCUGUGAUUUGUAGAAAACUGUUUCUGAGAGAUGCUGGAAAGUAUUCUGGAGAAAACAAUUAAUCUGUUUACCAUUUGUAAAAUGGUAAAUUUGGAAAAUACUACAUUCUAACGAUAUCUUUUUCCUGGAGAUACUGAAUGCACGUCAGGCUAUCAAAGACUGGAAUGUUUUAAAGAAACAUGUUUAACUCUAUACUCCAACAAUUCCCAACAAAGAUAAAGUAAAUAAUUAAAUAACUAAUUACAAUCAGAAUACCUAGUUUUGUUUUUAUUUUUGCACACCUGCAGAACAAUGUUUUUUGGAACACCAAUAUAGAACACUAAAUUUUUUAAAAUGGGCCAGGCGUGAUGGCUCACGCCUAUAAUCUCAGCUCUCUGGGAGGCUGAGGUAGGUGGAUCACUUGAGGUCAGGAGUUCAAGACCAGCCUGGCCAACAUAGCGAAACCGCAUUUCUACUAAAAAUACAAAAAUUAGCCCGAUGUGGUGAUGGGCACUUGUAAUCCCAGCUAGUCGGGAGGCUGAGGCAGGAGAAGUGCUUGAACCUGGGGGGAGGAGGCUGAAGUGAGAUGAGGUAGAGCCACUGCUCUCAAGCCUG
rnacentral:lncRNA from 1 species